rnacentral:rRNA from 1 species
GACGAACGCUGGCGGCGUGCUUAACACAUGCAAGUCGAACGGAAAGGCCCUGCUUUUGUGGGGUGCUCGAGUGGCGAACGGGUGAGUAACACGUGAGUAUCCUGCCCCUGUCUUUGGGAUAACUUCAGGAAACUGGGGCUAAUACCCCAUAGAAGCUCCUGCAGCAUGUUGGGCGUUGGAGAGUUGCGGCGGUUGGGGUUGGUGUCGCGGCUUAUCAGCUUGUUGGUGGGGUAGUGGCUUACCAAGGAUUGGACGGGUAGCCGGCCUGGGAGGGAGACCGGCACCAUAGGCCUGAGGGAGGGACCAGUACGCCAACGGGCGCAAUGGGCGGGAACUUUACGAAACAGGGCGGAGGCAGGGGUGAGGAUCGCCGGGUCGGGAAUCACGGCUUUUGGGUAAGAACCAGUUUGCACGUGUCACAAGGCGUGGUGACGGUAACUGGUUAAAAAGCCACGGCUAACUACGUG